rnacentral:rRNA from 1 species
UGGAUUUGACAUCCCGGGAAUUCUGUGGAAACGCAGAAGUGCCCUUCGGGGAACCCGGUGACAGGUGCUGCAUGGCUGUCGUCAGCUCGUGUCGUGAGAUGUUGGGUUAAGUCCCGCAACGAGCGCAACCCUUAUCUUUAGUUACCAGCAUUCAGUUGGGGACUCUAAAGAUACUGCCCCGGUCAACGGGGAGGAAGGUGGGAAUGACGUCAAGUCCUCAUGGCCCUUAUGUCCAGGGCUACACACGUGCUACAAUGGGCUGUACAGAGGGUCGCGAUCCCGCGAGGGGGAGCCAAUCCCACAAAACAGUUCUUAGUUCGGAUUGGAGUCUGCAACUCGACUCCAUGAAG